UACAGAGGGGGCGAGUGUUGUUCGGAAUUACUGGGCGUAAAGGGCGCGUAGGCGGCCAACUAAGUCAGACGUGAAAUCCCUCGGCUCAACCGGGGAACUGCGUCUGAUACUGGAUGGCUUGAAUUCGGGAGAGGGAUGCGGAAUUCCAGGUGUAGCGGUGAAAUGCGUAGAUAUCUGGAGGAACACCGGUGGCGAAGGCGGCAUCCUGGACCGGCAUUGACGCUGAGGCGCGAAAGCCAGGGGAGCAAACGGG
rnacentral:rRNA from 1 species